rnacentral:rRNA from 1 species
ACUGAACGCUGGCGGCAUGCCUUACACAUGCAAGUCGAACGGCAGCACGGGAGCAAUCCUGGUGGCGAGUGGCGAACGGGUGAGUAAAGCAUCGGAACGUGCCCAGUCGUGGGGGAUAACGUAGCGAAAGCUACGCUAAUACCGCAUACGAUCUGUGGAUGAAAGCGGGGGACCGUAAGGCCUCGCGCGAUUGGAGCGGCCGAUGUCAGAUUAGGUAGUUGGUGAGGUAAAGGCUCACAAAGCCGACGAUCUGUAGCUGGUCUGAGAGGACGACCAGCCACACUGGGACUGAGCCACGGCCCAGACUCCUACUGGAGGCAGCAGUGGGGAAUUUUGGACAAUUGGCGCAAGCCUGAUCCAGCAAUGCCGCGUGCAGGAUGAAGGCCUUCGGGUUGUAAACUGCUUUUGUACGGAGCGAAACGGCUUCCACUAAUACUGGGGGCUAAUGACGGUACCGUAAGAAUAAGCACCGGCUAACUACGUGCCAGCCGCCGCAGUAACAC